AACAGGAUUAGAUACCCUGGUAGUCCACGCCGUAAACGAUGUCGAUUUGGAGGUUGUGCCCUUGAGGCGUGGCUUCCGGAGCUAACGCGUUAAAUCGACCGCCUGGGGAGUACGGCCGCAAGGUUAAAACUCAAAUGAAUUGACGGGGGCCCGCACAAGCGGUGGAGCAUGUGGUUUAAUUCGAUGCAACGCGAAGAACCUUACCUGGUCUUGACAUCCACAGAACUUUCCAGAGAUGGAUUGGUGCCUUCGGGAACUGUGAGACAGGUGCUGCAUGGCUGUCGUCAGCUCGUGUUGUGAAAUGUUGGGUUAAGUCCCGCAACGAGCGCAACCCUUAUCCUUUGUUGCCAGCGGUUAGGCCGGGAACUCAAAGGAGACUGCCAGUGAUAAACUGGAGGAAGGUGGGGAUGACGUCAAGUCAUCAUGGCCCUUACGACCAGGGCUACACACGUGCUACAAUGGCAUAUACAAAGAGAAGCGACCUCGCGAGAGCAAGCGGACCUCAUAAAGUAUGUCGUAGUCCGGAUUGGAGUCUGCAACUCGACUCCAUGAAGUCGGAAUCGCUAGUAAUCGUAGAUCAGAAUGCUACGGUGAAUACGUUCCCGGGCCUUGUACACACCGCCCGUCACACCAUGGGAGUGGGUUGCAAAAGAAGUAGGUAGCUUAACCUUCGGGAGGGCGCUUACCACUUUGUGAUUCAUGACUGGGGUGAAGUCGUAACAAGGUAACC
rnacentral:rRNA from 1 species